UAAAAUAGGAUUUAUUUUUCA
rnacentral:piRNA from 1 species